rnacentral:rRNA from 1 species
AUUGAACGCUGGCGGCAGGCUUAACACAUGCAAGUCGAGCGGGGGAGAUUGCUUCGGUAAUUGACCUAGCGGCGGACGGGUGAGUAAUACUUAGGAAUCUGCCUAUUAAUGGGGGACAACAUCUCGAAAGGGAUGCUAAUACCGCAUACGCCCUACGGGGGAAAGCAGGGGAUCACUUGUGACCUUGCGUUAAUAGAUGAGCCUAAGUCGGAUUAGCUAGUUGGUGGGGUAAAGGCCUACCAAGGCGACGAUCUGUAGCGGGUCUGAGAGGAUGAUCCGCCACACUGGGACUGAGACACGGCCCAGACUCCUACGGGAGGCAGCAGUGGGGAAUAUUGGACAAUGGGGGGAACCCUGAUCCAGCCAUGCCGCGUGUGUGAAGAAGGCCUUAUGGUUGUAAAGCACUUUAAGCGAGGAGGAGGCUCUUUUGGUUAAUACCCAAGAUGAGUGGACGUUACUCGCAGAAUAAGCACCGGCUAACUCUGUGCCAGCAGCCGCCGCAGUAA